rnacentral:rRNA from 1 species
GACGUAGGGCGCGAGCGUUGUCCGGAUUUAUUGGGCGUAAAGAGCUCGUAGGCGGCUUGUCGCGUCGACUGUGAAAACCCGUGGCUCAACCAUGUGGUCUGCAGUCGAUACGGGCAGGCUAGAAUUCGGUAGGGGAGACUGGAAUUCCUGGUGUAGCGGUGAAAUGCGCAGAUAUCAGGAGGAACACCGGUGGCGAAGGCGGGGUCUCUGGGGCCGAUAUUGACGCUGAGGAGCGAAAGCGUGGGGAGCGAACAGG